rnacentral:rRNA from 1 species
CCUGGUUGAUCCUGCCAGUAGUCAUAUGCUUGUCUCAAAGCUUAAGCCAUGCAAGUGUAAGUUCACGCCACGCAUUAGAACGGGCGAAACCGCGAAUGGCUCAGGAACCGGACCUAAUCCUCGGGACCGUAUUCCUCCUCGGAGGCGAUGGAUAACUGUGGCAAUUCUAGAGCUAAUACAUGUGACACAGGCCGCGAUCGGCCGGCGCGCCGUCGUCGCCACGCCUUGCGCGCUGGCACCCGCGUCGGCCGUUCCGGGUCGCGGCGCUACAUAUUAGACUGAGACCGAUGCGCGUCAUUCCGUCCUCCCGUCGUCGGCGUUCCCUAGGUUCGUUCGGUGGCGGGGCUCAUAGGGCGGCGCGCUCCGCUUUGGUGACUCUGGAUAACUCACUGGUCGAUCGCACGGGCUUUCACGCCCGGCGACGGGUCUCUCGAGGGUCCGCCCUAUCAACUGUCGACGGUCGGUUAAGUGCCUACCGUGGUUACUACGGGUAACGGGGAAUCGGGGUUCGAUUCCGGAGAGGGAGCAUGCGAAACGGCUACCACAUCCAAGGAAGGCAGCAGGCGCGCAAAUUACCCACUCCCGGCACGGGGAGGUAGUGACGAAAAAUAACGACGCGGGACUCUGUCGAGGCCCCGCGAUCGGAAUGAGUACACUUCAAAUCCGUUAACGAGGACCAACCGGAGGGCAAGUCUGGUGCCAGCAGCCGCGGUAAUUCCAGCUCCGGUAGCGUAUAUUAAAGUUGUUGCGGUUAAAAAGCUCGUAGUCCGAACUCGGGUUCGCGGUCGCGCAAGCGGCCCCGGGGCGGCGGCGCCAUCGUCCGUCGUUGACUUUGGUCGUCCGUUCGCAUUCCCGGCCCUUUCCGCCGGUGUCAACCGCUAGCAUACCCGUCACGCGGUCCUGCCGGCGAGGUGGACGAGGAGGUCGUGGUCGGGAUCCGGGAGUGGUCGUCGGUCCGGGUGUGGUUGUUAACGGGUGGUGUUGUGUGUGUGUGUGUCGGCGUUUUUUUCUAAAAAACAUCGUGCUCGCGCAUCAUCCCCCCGCCUCGCUUCCCUCCCAGCCGCGCUCUCCCCCCGGUCCGCUCCGAGUCCUUGCUUCGUGUCUGUCUGCGCGCGUGUGCGGUCGGCGGUUUCUCCUCCAAGGGUGCUCUUAACCGAGUGUCCGCGGCGGCCGGUACGUUCACUUUGAAAAAAUUAGAGUGCUCAGAGCGGGCUGUUCAAGCUUGCAUACGAUAAGCAUGGAAUGAUGGAAGAGGGCCUCGUCUACGUCUGUCGGUCUCCGUCUACGGCGAGGCAAUGAUCGAAGGGAGCGGUCGGGGCCACUCGUAUUGCGACGUUAGAGGUGAAAUUCUUGGAUCGUCGCAAGACGAACUGCAGCGAUGGCGUGUGGCAAGCACGUUUUCCUCGAUCAAGAGCGAAAGUCGGAGGUUCGAAGACGAUCAGAUACCGUCGUAGUUCCGACCGUAAACGAUGCCGACCGGCGAUCCGCCGGCGUUCGCUUCCAUGACCCGGCGGGUAGCCUGCGGGAAACCAGAGUUCGGUUCCGGGGGGAGUAUGGUUGCAAAGCUGAAACUUAAAGGAAUUGACGGAAGGGCACCACCAGGAGUGGAGCCUGCGGCUUAAUUUGACCCAACACGGGAAAACUCACCCGGUCCGGACACCGGUAGGAUUGACAGAUCGAUAGCUCUUUCUCGAUUCGGUGGGUGGUGGUGCAUGGCCGUUCUUAGUUGGUGGAGCGAUCCGUCUGGUUGAUUCCGAUAACGAACGAGACUCCGGCCUGCUAACUAGUGCGCCGAUGUCAGUGAUUUUUACGGCGGGCUCGGCGUCCUCCGUGGCGCUCGGGUCCGGGUCGGUUUUCUCACGCACUUCUUAGAGGGACGGGUGGCAGAAAGCCACACGAGGCGGAGCGAUAACAGGUCUGUGAUGCCCUUAGAUGUCCGGGGCCGCACGCGCGCUACACUGGAGGUAUCAGCGGGGACUUCGCCCCGGCCCGAGAGGGUUGGGAAACCUCUUAACCACCUCCCGUGAUAGGGAUCGGGGCCUGUAACCAACCCCGUGAACGAGGAAUUCCCGGUAGGCGCGGGUCAACAGCCCGCGUCGAUCACGUCCCUGCCCUUUGUACACACCGCCCGUCGCUACUACCGAUCGAACGGUCCGGUGAGGUCCUCGGAUCUGGCCGACGACGCCGCCGGGCAGUGUGCGACGUGUCCGUCACGACACUCGUGCGUCUCAGCCUCGGCGUUCGAUGCCUGGAGAAGACGACCGAACCCGAUCGUUUAGAGGAAGUAAAAGUCGUAACAAGGUUUCCGUAGGUGAACCUGCGGAAG